rnacentral:rRNA from 1 species
GGCACCGGCGUAACUCCGUGCCAGCAGCCGCGGUAAUACGGAGGGUGCAAGCGUUAUCCGGAAUCAUUGGUUUAAAGGGUCCGCAGGCGGUCAAUUAAGUCAGAGGUGAAAUCCUACAGCUUAACUGUAGAACUGCCUUUGAUACUGGUUGACUUGAGUAAUACGGAAGUAGGUAGAAUGUGUAGUGUAGCGGUGAAAUGCAUAGAUAUUACACAGAAUACCGAUUGCGAAGGCAGCCUACUACGUAUUUUACUGACGCUCAUGGACGAAAGCGUGGGGGAGCGAACAGGAUUAGAUACCCCUGGUAG